UUAGUACUCCCUCCGUUCGAAAAUAUUUGUCAUCAAAAUGGAUAAAAAGAGAUGUAUCUAGAAGUAAAAUAAGUCUAGAUACAUCUCCUUUUAUUAAUUCUGAUGACAAGUAUUUCCGGUCGGAGGAAGUAUAUG
rfam:Triticum urartu cultivar G1812 contig566604, whole genome shotgun sequence.